rnacentral:lncRNA from 1 species
CUUGGGACUAACUGAAUUUUUUUUUUUUUUUUUUCCCCAGCCUUAUACUUCAGUUGGCUUCCUUCCCAACUCCGAGCAUCCAAAUGGAGGCUCCCCCUCGUGGCAAGUCCUGGAAUAACAGGAACAGGUUACUGAGGCUUCAUUGUGCUGGAGCUGGAGGAGAGAGAGGAGCAGCGGUCCUGGUCGAGGCACCCCAGGAAACAGGAUUCCAGCCUGGGCCUCACAGCCUCCUCCCUUGGGCCCCUGCCUUCGUCAUGUCCUGUCUUUAUCCUUCAGGAAGUGGGGAGCCAAUGAAGCUCCCCCUGCGGCUUGCCAGCUGCCAGCAGAUGACAUCUCCUUUCAUGUUUGGGGCUGAGCACAGCUUUGAAUGUUCGUUUGAUUCCGUUAAGAUAAUAGCUGGUUCACUGUCAGAUGCAGACUGAUCAGUUAAAACCUUAAUCACUGCCUGUCUCCUCACUCGGCACUUAUUUUUUAAGAGAUUAAUCCCCUCAGCCCUGCUCCAGCUCACAUUCAGCUUGAAAAAAAAAAAAAGGCAAGGUUUGUGUUAUUCUUAUUAUUAUUAUUAUUGUCACUUUCAUUAUUCUGCAUAUUAAUUCUGUCCCUCUCUGCCCUUUCAACUAUUCUUUUUUCUCCCCCGUGGUUUCCCAGUCUUCCCCUCAUCUCACUUGUAUAUUCUCUCUCUUUCUCUCUCUUUCUCUCUCUCUCUCAUACACACACACACACACACACACACACACACACACACACACUGAUGUGACUUUCCAGAUCUAGUGUGAGCUAUAUCCAGAUAUUGAUAUAGUGUUAGUAUAUACAAUACCCCUGCACACGCCCUCCCUACCUCCACAUGCACACCUGGCUGUUCAGCACAGGGACCGGACACAGGACACAGGUCCAGGCACAUGCGGUCCAGGGCAGGUGGGAGAUACAGCUCUGUAUCAUGGGCAGAGUCCAAUAUUUGGGGUCACACACAUGUGCCCUGAUUCUCCCUCAGAGACUCGCAUGCUUUGUGACCUUGGAGAGAAGUCUUACUUUCCUCAUCUGUAAAAUGGGAUGAGAGCACUCACUUCAGGGAGGCUGUGAGCAUUGAAUACAAGACAACAUGUAGGCUACCCACAGCAGGGCCUGGCACAGGGUGGCGGCUCAGUGUCAUUCCUGUUCCUCGUUCCUACCUCCCAGGCUUCAUGGAAAGAUCCUUUCUAGAGGUUGCCCAGUCCCUCCUCCCCCGCAAGAUGCUGUACCCUCUCUGGGCCAUUUUGCAGACACUUCUCACUUUAUUACCUAUCUCAGCAGUCAAGCCUUACCCAGGAUCAGGGAAGGAUAUUCUGCUUGACACUGACCUGUGAAGGUUGGAUUUCACAAUUUGCAAUUAAAGCUAGAAUUUUACAGAGGAAAGUAACCCAGGGGCCAUCCGGUCCAAACCCUCAAAGUACAUGAAGAGAGAAAGGCUCAGAGAGGGGCCGAUUUGCCCUGGGCCACACAGCAAGUUAUAGCAGGGCUGGAACUAGAAUUCCUCCCUGGCUUUGCAUACAUCACCCAGGGAGAUUCAGCCCAGCAGCCAGCCAUGUACUCAACAAUUACUAUGUGCCCAGCCCUAAACCAUGAAAGAGAGCAACCAGGCUAUGCCACACUGGGUGUUACCCAGGGUGGCAGAGACCUGUUUCUGAUCCAAAUGGUACUGUGGACACAGCAAGGCUUUCUGAAGCGGGUGGAGUGGGGGUUUGGAAUAGCAGGACACUUAGACAGGGAGAUAGAAGUGAGUGUCUGAGGACCACCAGGGACAUCAGCCCCAUUUCUGGAGUUGAAGGCAUGCAGCAUAUCCUGGACUAAGCGAGAUGAUCUGACAGAGGCCAGGAACUGUCUGCAGGCUCCAUCUCCUUGGAAGUGGGAAAACAAAGCACGAGGUGGUAUUUGCAGUUGCAGAGAGUCAUGAAAGGUAGGGGGAAGAACUGUCUAACCCUGAGACCUGAGAAGAGAUGAACAGAGAAGCCCAGCAUUUGGAUCAUUGGUGACAUUCGUUUCUUCACAGUGAGGCAUUAAGGUCUUCGACUCUGGAGCCAGACCGCCUGGGUUCCAUUCACCUGUUGCGUGGAUACCAUGGACAAGUCACUUCACCUUUCUGUGAUUCCAUUUUCUCCUCUAAAAUAGGAAUAAUAAUAAUGUCUCUUAGCACUUGGCGGCUGAUACAUAGUAAGUACUACAUGAGUAUAAGUCGUGACUAGUAAGGACGACAUGAACAUGUAAAUGUCCCAGGCCCUGCAGCACAGGCUGAGGAUAGAGUUGAACAAGGCAGGCUCCCUGCUGUCAGUAUGUGCUCAGCCCAGGGGGGAGGCAAGUAAACUCCUAACUGUGGUCCCAUGUGGGGGACACCCAGUCCACCCUCAGGGGAUGAGGGACAGCCUCCUGGAAGGAGCAGCUUGUGGGCUUCAUGAGGGUGGGACUUUGUUUUGUUCCCUGCUGCACUUCUAGUGCCUAGAAUGGGAUCUGGUGUUCAGAGUAGGAGUUCAGUCAACUUUUGCUGAACGGACAAGUGAACCAACUGAGCAAGUUCUUAAAGGAGGAACAGGAUGACAAACAUCCCUUCCAUGGGCCUCAGUCUUCUCAUGUAUAAAAUGAGGGCUUGGAUAGGAGUCCAGGGACCUUCUGGCUAUUCUUGAAAUCCCU